rnacentral:lncRNA from 1 species
AGUACAAAGGCUGUUUGAAUUGCUCAUUCUCGUUAUCUGAUUAAUCCGGUAUAAUUGAAGAUCAUCUGGUUUAUUCACAUAAGCAGAGGAUAGUCUUUCUCUGUGUGCAUGGCUGAAGAACUUCAACCUGCCUGUGAUGUAAAUGCCAGAGGAAGAAACCAAGGCCCAAACAAGAAAAGGAGUGAACAGCAAGUAAAUCACAGAGCUCUCCUUCUUACCUGUAUUCCCUACGGUGCCCUUCACACUGAUGUAUGAACUCAAGACAGGCCCACUUCUCUGCAGAAGAAUGUCCUAAUAUCAAAAAUGUGUCUCUGAUGAAUGUUGGACCAAAGGGAGUAAACAGAACCCAAGACAUCUAACAAAAUGUUCCCCAGAAUUAAGAUGAACACCAAAGAGAAUAGAUAAUUUUAUGGAAACUAUGUUGGUGGGAUCCACUUCCAGCUGUGUGUGUCUGCACACCUCAUUCCUCUUGGUCGUGAGACAAGAACUCAGAACUUGCUGAAAUGCAGAAGUGAAAGAGCAGUAUCACUCCAUCCUGCUGAACUACGGGAGUGAAGAAGCCACAGUAGGACUUUACUAGAAGUGAGGAUUGGAGAACAGAAUCUUUCCAAAAGUUUUGAAGAAGCUUCCAUGUUGUGAGAGAGCAUAUGGAGGGGGCCACGUGGCAAGGAACUGUAGUGGCCACUGAGUACUGAGAGUGCUGAGUGCUGAACAUAGAACCUCAGGGCAACAGUUGCAAAGACAUGAAUUCCACCAACAACAUGAAGGCCUUGGAAAUGGAUUAUUCUCUAGUCCAGGCUCUGAUCACCACAGCCCCAGCCAACACCUGAAUUUGAGCCUUGUGAGACCCUGGAGUAGAGAACUUAGCUAGGAUAUGCCUGACUUCUGCCCUACAGAAACAAAGACAUAAUAAAUGUGUGCUAUUUUAAGCUUCAAGUUUGUGAUGAUUUACUACACAGUAUAGAAAACUAAUACAAUAUUACUUUUCUUUCUGCAACAUAUGUUUCCAUUAGUCUAACUUCCAUCUUGAUUCAACAGAUAUUUUUUGAAUUCUUAUGCCAAGUGCUGUUAAGAAUUUAUCUCACAAUCACAUAGGUCAGUAAAUAGCAGCGACCAGAUGGGAGUUCAGGCCCUUUUAGUCAUUGCUCAGUGAUCAUUCCCUUACAAUAAACAUCUGUGGAUGCACUAAUCCAAAUAUCAAGUGUGUGAUUGCCACAAAUAUUUGAGUUAUAAGAUGUUAGAAAUGUUUAA